rnacentral:snRNA from 1 species
GUACUCGCUUCAGCAGUAUAUAUACUAAGAAGAUUAGCAUGGCCCCUGUGCAAAGAUGAUAUGCAAAUUCAUGAAGGGUUUCAUUAAAAA